UCGAAAGUCCACAUCUAGCUACUGGGUGGUCCGAUUCUGAGUGAUCUCGAAGUUUCUUGCCCACAAAAGCCGAACGGUGACGCCCCAGACUCGGUUUCUUGGUUCCGUCCCAAAACGCCGAAGAAAAGCACAAUGGCCUAGAAAGGGACGGUCGGACUUGGAACGGGGUCCGAGGCCUCGAAAGUCCACAUCUAGCUACUGGGUGGUCCGAUUCUGAGUGAUCUCGAAGUUUCUUGCCCACAAAAGCCGAACGGUGACGCGCCCAGACUCGGUUUCUUGGUUCCGUCCCAAAACGCCGAAGAAAGGCACAAUGGCCUAGAAAGGGACGGUCGGACUUGGAACGGGGUCCGAGGCCUCGAAAGUCCACAUCUAGCUACUGGGUGGUCCGAUUCUGAGUGAUCUCGAAGUUUCUUGCCCACAAAAGCCGAACGGUGACGCCCCAGACUCGGUUUCUUGGUUCCGUCCCAAAACGCCGAAGAAAGGCACAAUGGCCUAGAAAGGGACGGUCGGACUUGGAACGGGGUCCGAGGCCUCGAAAGUCCACAUCUAGCUACUGGGUGGUCCGAUUCUGAGUGAUCUCGAAGUUUCUUGCCCACAAAAGCCGAACGGUGACGCCCCAGACUCGGUUUCUUGGUUCCGUCCCAAAACGCCGAAGAAAGGCACAAUGGCCUAGAAAGGGACGGUCGGACUUGGAACGGGGUCCGAGGCCUCGAAAGUCCACAUCUAGCUACUGGGUGGUCCGAUUCUGAGUGAUCUCGAAGUUUCUUGCCCACAAAAGCCGAACGGUGACGCCCCAGACUCGGUUUCUUGGUUCCGUCCCAAAACGCCGAAGAAAGGCACAAUGGCCUAGAAAGGGACGGUCGGACUUGGAACGGGGUCCGAGGCCUCGAAAGUCCACAUCUAGCUACUGGGUGGUCCGAUUCUGAGUGAUCUCGAAGUUUCUUGCCCACAAAAAGCCGAACGGUGACGCCCCAGACUCGGUUUCUUGGUUCCGUCCCAAAACGCCGAAGAAAGGCACAAUGGCCUAGAAAGGGACGGUCGGACUUGGAACGGGGUCCGAGGCCUCGAAAGUCCACAUCUAGCUACUGGGUGGUCCGAUUCUGAGUGAUCUCGAAGUUUCUUGCCCACAAAAGCCGAACGGUGACGCCCCAGACUCGGUUUCUUGGUUCCGUCCCAAAACGCCGAAGAAAGGCACAAUGGCCUAGAAAGGGACGGUCGGACUUGGAACGGGGUCCGAGGCCUCGAAAGUCCACAUCUAGCUACUGGGUGGUCCGAUUCUGAGUGAUCUCGAAGUUUCUUGCCCACAAAAGCCGAACGGUGACGCCCCAGACUCGGUUUCUUGGUUCCGUCCCAAAACGCCGAAGAAAGGCACAAUGGCCUAGAAAGGGACGGUCGGACUUGGAACGGGGUCCGAGGCCUCGAAAGUCCACAUCUAGCUACUGGGUGGUCCGAUUCUGAGUGAUCUCGAAGUUUCUUGCCCACAAAAGCCGAACGGUGACGCCCCCGACUCGGUUUCUUGGUUCCGUCCCAAAACGCCGAAGAAAGGCACAAUGGCCUAGAAAAGGACGGUCGGACUUGGAACGGGGUCCGAGGCCUCGAAAGUCCACAUCUAGCUACUGGGUGGUCCGAUUCUGAGUGAUCUCGAAGUUUCUUGCCCACAAAAGCCGAACGGUGACGCCCCAGACUCGGUUUCUUGGUUCCGUCCCAAAACGCCGAAGAAAGGCACAAUGGCCUAGAAAGGGACGGUCGGACUUGGAACGGGGUCCGAGGCCUCGAAAGUCCACAUCUAGCUACUGGGUGGUCCGAUUCUGAGUGAUCUCGAAGUUUCUUGCCCACAAAAGCCGAACGGUGACGCCCCAGACUCGGUUUCUUGGUUCCGUCCCAAAACGCCGAAGAAAGGCACAAUGGCCUAGAAAGGGACGGUCGGACUUGGAACGGGGUCCGAGGCCUCGAAAGUCCACAUCUAGCUACUGGGUGGUCCGAUUCUGAGUGAUCUCGAAGUUUCUUGCCCACAAAAGCCGAACGGUGACGCCCCAGACUCGGUUUCUUGGUUCCGUCCCAAAACGCCGAAGAAAGGCACAAUGGCCUAGAAAGGGACGGUCGGACUUGGAACGGGGUCCGAGGCCUCGAAAGUCCACAUCUAGCUACUGGGUGGUCCGAUUCUGAGUGAUCUCGAAGUUUCUUGCCCACAAAAGCCGAACGGUGACGCCCCAGACUCGGUUUCUUGGUUCCGUCCCAAAACGCCGAAGAAAGGCACAAUGGCCUAGAAAGGGACGGUCGGACUUGGAACGGGGUCCGAGGCCUCGAAAGUCCACAUCUAGCUACUGGGUGGUCCGAUUCUGAGUGAUCUCGAAGUUUCUUGCCCACAAAAGCCGAACGGUGACGCCCCAGACUCGGUUUCUUGGUUCCGUCCCAAAACGCCCGAAGAAAGGCACAAUGGCCUAGAAAGGGACGGUCGGACUUGGAACGGGGUCCGAGGCCUCGAAAGUCCACAUCUAGCUACUGGGUGGUCCGAUUCUGAGUGAUCUCGAAGUUUCUUGCCCACAAAAGCCGAACGGUGACGCCCCAGACUCGGUUUCUUGGUUCCGUCCCAAAACGCCGAAGAAAGGCACAAUGGCCUAGAAAGGGACGGUCGGACUUGGAACGGGGUCCGAGGCCUCGAAAGUCCACAUCUAGCUACUGGGGUGGUCCGAUUCUGAGUGAUCUCGAAGUUUCUUGCCCACAAAAGCCGAACGGUGACGCCCCAGACUCGGUUUCUUGGUUCCGUCCCAAAACGCCGAAGAAAGGCACAAUGGCCUAGAAAGGGACGGUCGGACUUGGAACGGGGUCCGAGGCCUCGAAAGUCCACAUCUAGCUACUGGGUGGUCCGAUUCUGAGUGAUCUCGAAGUUUCUUGCCCACAAAAGCCGAACGGUGACGCCCCAGACUCGGUUUCUUGGUUCCGUCCCAAAACGCCGAAGAAAGGCACAAUGGCCUAGAAAGGGACGGUCGGACUUGGAACGGGGUCCGAGGCCUCGAAAGUCCACAUCUAGCUACUGGGUGGUCCGAUUCUGAGUGAUCUCGAAGUUUCUUGCCCACAAAAGCCGAACGGUGACGCCCCAGACUCGGUUUCUUGGUUCCGUCCCAAAACGCCGAAGAAAGGCACAAUGGCCUAGAAAGGGACGGUCGGACUUGGAACGGGGUCCGAGGCCUCGAAAGUCCACAUCUAGCUACUGGGUGGUCCGAUUCUGAGUGAUCUCGAAGUUUCUUGCCCACAAAAGCCGAACGGUGACGCCCCAGACUCGGUUUCUUGGUUCCGUCCCAAAACGCCGAAGAAAGGCACAAUGGCCUAGAAAGGGACGGUCGGACUUGGAACGGGGUCCGAGGCCUCGAAAGUCCACAUCUAGCUACUGGGUGGUCCGAUUCUGAGUGAUCUCGAAGUUUCUUGCCCACAAAAGCCGAACGGUGACGCCCCAGACUCGGUUUCUUGGUUUCGUCCCAAAACGCCGAAGAAAGGCACAAUGGCCUAGAAAGGGACGGUCGGACUUGGAACGGGGUCCGAGGCCUCGAAAGUCCACAUCUAGCUACUGGGUGGUCCGAUUCUGAGUGAUCUCGAAGUUUCUUGCCCACAAAAGCCGAACGGUGACGCCCCAGACUCGGUUUCUUGGUUCCGUCCCAAAACGCCGAAGAAAGGCACAAUGGCCUAGAAAGGGACGGUCGGACUUGGAACGGGGUCCGAGGCCUCGAAAGUCCACAUCUAGCUACUGGGUGGUCCGAUUCUGAGUGAUCUCGAAGUUUCUUGCCCACAAAAGCCGAACGGUGACGCCCCAGACUCGGUUUCUUGGUUCCGUCCCAAAACGCCGAAGAAAGGCACAAUGGCCUAGAAAGGGACGGUCGGACUUGGAACGGGGUCCGAGGCCUCGAAAGUCCACAUCUAGCUACUGGGUGGUCCGAUUCUGAGUGAUCUCGAAGUUUCUUGCCCACAAAAGCCGAACGGUGACGCCCCAGACUCGGUUUCUUGGUUCCGUCCCAAAACGCCGAAGAAAGGCACAAUGGCCUAGAAAGGGACGGUCGGACUUGGAACGGGGUCCGAGGCCUCGAAAGUCCACAUCUAGCUACUGGGUGGUCCGAUUCUGAGUGAUCUCGAAGUUUCUUGCCCACAAAAGCCGAACGGUGACGCCCCAGACUCGGUUUCUUGGUUCCGUCCCAAAACGCCGAAGAAAGGCACAAUGGCCUAGAAAGGGACGGUCGGACUUGGAACGGGGUCCGAGGCCUCGAAAGUCCACAUCUAGCUACUGGGUGGUCCGAUUCUGAGUGAUCUCGAAGUUUCUUGCCCACAAAAGCCGAACGGUGACGCCCCAGACUCGGUUUCUUGGUUCCGUCCCAAAACGCCGAAGAAAGGCACAAUGGCCUAGAAAGGGACGGUCGGGACUUGGAACGGGGUCCGAGGCCUCGAAAGUCCACAUCUAGCUACUGGGUGGUCCGAUUCUGAGUGAUCUCGAAGUUUCUUGCCCACAAAAGCCGAACGGUGACGCCCCAGACUCGGUUUCUUGGUUCCGUCCCAAAACGCCGAAGAAAGGCACAAUGGCCUAGAAAGGGACGGUCGGACUUGGAACGGGGUCCGAGGCCUCGAAAGUCCACAUCUAGCUACUGGGUGGUCCGAUUCUGAGUGAUCUCGAAGUUUCUUGCCCACAAAAGCCGAACGGUGACGCCCCAGACUCGGUUUCUUGGUUCCGUCCCAAAACGCCGAAGAAAGGCACAAUGGCCUAGAAAGGGACGGUCGGACUUGGAACGGGGUCCGAGGCCUCGAAAGUCCACAUCUAGCUACUGGGUGGUCCGAUUCUGAGUGAUCUCGAAGUUUCUUGCCCACAAAAGCCGAACGGUGACGCCCCAGACUCGGUUUCUUGGUUCCGUCCCAAAACGCCGAAGAAAGGCACAAUGGCCUAGAAAGGGACGGUCGGACUUGGAACGGGGUCCGAGGCCUCGAAAGUCCACAUCUAGCUACUGGGUGGUCCGAUUCUGAGUGAUCUCGAAGUUUCUUGCCCACAAAAGCCGAACGGUGACGCCCCAGACUCGGUUUCUUGGUUCCGUCCCAAAACGCCGAAGAAAGGCACAAUGGCCUAGAAAGGGACGGUCGGACUUGGAACGGGUCCGAGGCCUCGAAAGUCCACAUCUAGCUACUGGGUGGUCCGAUUCUGAGUGAUCUCGAAGUUUCUUGCCCACAAAAGCCGAACGGUGACGCCCCAGACUCGGUUUCUUGGUUCCGUCCCAAAACGCCGAAGAAAGGCACAAUGGCCUAGAAAGGGACGGUCGGACUUGGAACGGGGUCCGAGGCCUCGAAAGUCCACAUCUAGCUACUGGGUGGUCCGAUUCUGAGUGAUCUCGAAGUUUCUUGCCCACAAAAGCCGAACGGUGACGCCCCAGACUCGGUUUCUUGGUUCCGUCCCAAAACGCCGAGAAAAGGCACAAUGGCCUAGAAAGGGACGGUCGGACUUGGAACGGGGUCCGAGGCCUCGAAAGUCCACAUCUAGCUACUGGGUGGUCCGAUUCUGAGUGAUCUCGAAGUUUCUUGCCCACAAAAGCCGAACGGUGACGCCCCAGACUCGGUUUCUUGGUUCCGUCCCAAAACGCCGAAGAAAGGCACAAUGGCCUAGAAAGGGACGGUCGGACUUGGAACGGGGUCCGAGGCCUCGAAAGUCCACAUCUAGCUACUGGGUGGUCCGAUUCUGAGUGAUCUCGAAGUUUCUUGCCCACAAAAGCCGAACGGUGACGCCCCAGACUCGGUUUCUUGGUUCCGUCCCAAAACGCCGAAGAAAGGCACAAUGGUCCUAGAAAGGGACGGUCGGACUUGGAACGGGGUCCGAGGCCUCGAAAGUCCACAUCUAGCUACUGGGUGGUCCGAUUCUGAGUGAUCUCGAAGUUUCUUGCCCACAAAAGCCGAACGGUGACGCCCCAGACUCGGUUUCUUGGUUCCGUCCCAAAACGCCGAAGAAAGACACAAUGGCCUAGAAAGGGACGGUCGGACUUGGAACGGGGUCCGAGGCCUCGAAAGUCCACAUCUAGCUACUGGGUGGUCCGAUUCUGAGUGAUCUCGAAGUUUCUUGCCCACAAAAAGCCGAACGGUGACGCCCAGACUCGGUUUCUUGGUUCCGUCCCAAAACGCCGAAGAAAGGCACAAUGGCCUAGAAAGGGACGGUCGGACUUGGAACGGGGUCCGAGGCCUCGAAAGUCCACAUCUAGCUACUGGGUGGUCCGAUUCUGAGUGAUCUCGAAGUUUCUUGCCCACAAAAGCCGAACGGUGACGCCCCAGACUCGGUUUCUUGGUUCCGUCCCAAAACGCCGAAGAAAGGCACAAUGGCCUAGAAAGGGACGGUCGGACUUGGAACGGGGUCCGAGGCCUCGAAAGUCCACAUCUAGCUACUGGGUGGUCCGAUUCUGAGUGAUCUCGAAGUUUCUUGCCCACAAAAGCCGAACGGUGACGCCCCAGACUCGGUUUCUUGGUUCCGUCCCAAAACGCCGAAGAAAGGCACAAUGGCCUAGAAAGGGACGGUCGGACUUGGAACGGGGUCCGAGGCCUCGAAAGUCCACAUCUAGCUACUGGGUGGUCCGAUUCUUUGUGAUCUCGAAGUUUCUUGCCCACAAAAGCCGAACGGUGACGCCCCAGACUCGGUUUCUUGGUUCCGUCCCAAAACGCCGAAGAAAGGCACAAUGGCCUAGAAAGGGACGGUCGGACUUGGAACGGGGUCCGAGGCCUCGAAAGUCCACAUCUAGCUACUGGGUGGUCCGAUUCUGAGUGAUCUCGAAGUUUCUUGCCCACAAAAGCCGAACGGUGACGCCCCAGACUCGGUUUCUUGGUUCCGUCCCAAAACGCCGAAGAAAGGCACAAUGGCCUAGAAAGGGACGGUCGGACUUGGAACGGGGUCCGAGGCCUCGAAAGUCCACAUCUAGCUACUGGGUGGUCCGAUUCUGAGUGAUCUCGAAGUUUCUUGCCCACAAAAGCCGAACGGUGACGCCCCAGACUCGGUUUCUUGGUUCCGUCCCAAAACGCCGAAGAAAGGCACAAUGGCCUAGAAAGGGACGGUCGGACUUGGAACGGGGUCCGAGGCCUCGAAAGUCCACAUCUAGCUACUGGGUGGUCCGAUUCUGAGUGAUCUCGAAGUUUCUUGCCCACAAAAGCCGAACGGUGACGCCCCAGACUCGGUUUCUUGGUUCCGUCCCAAAAACGCCGAAGAAAGGCCCAAUGGCCUAGAAAGGGACGGUCGGACGUGGAACGGGGUCCGAGGCGUCGAAAGUCAACAUCUAGCUACUGGGUGGUCCGAUUCUGAGUGAUCUCGAAGUUUAUUGCCCACAAAAGCCGAACGGUGACGCCCCAGACUCGGUUUCUUGGUUCCGUCCCAAAACGCCGAAGAAAGGCACAAUGGCCUAGAAAGGGACGGUCGGACUUGGAACGGGGUCCGAGGCCUCGAAAGUCCACAUCUAGCUACUGGGUGGUCCGAUUCUGAGUGAUCUCGAAGUUUCUUGCCCACAAAAGCCGAACGGUGACGCCCCAGACUCGGUUUCUUGGUUCCGUCCCAAAACGCCGAAGAAAGGCACAAUGGCCUAGAAAGGGACGGUCGGACUUGGAACGGGGUCCGAGGCCUCGAAAGUCCACAUCUAGCUACUGGGUGGUCCGAUUCUUUGUGAUCUCGAAGUUUCUUGCCCACAAAAGCCGAACGGUGACGCCCCAGACUCGGUUUCUUGGUUCCGUCCCAAAACGCCGAAGAAAGGCACAAUGGCCUAGAAAGGGACGGUCGGACUUGGAACGGGGUCCGAGGCCUCGAAAGUCCACAUCUAGCUACUGGGUGGUCCGAUUCUGAGUGAUCUCGAAGUUUCUUGCCCACAAAAGCCGAACGGUGACGCCCCAGACUCGGUUUCUUGGUUCCGUCCCAAAACGCCGAAGAAAGGCACAAUGGCCUAGAAAGGGACGGUCGGACUUGGAACGGGGUCCGAGGCCUCGAAAGUCCACAUCUAGCUACUGGGUGGUCCGAUUCUGAGUGAUCUCGAAGUUUCUUGCCCACAAAAGCCGAACGGUGACGCCCCAGACUCGGUUUCUUGGUUCCGUCCCAAAACGCCGAAGAAAGGCACAAUGGCCUAGAAAGGGACGGUCGGACUUGGAACGGGGUCCGAGGCCUCGAAAGUCCACAUCUAGCUACUGGGUGGUCCGAUUCUUUGUGAUCUCGAAGUUUCUUGCCCACAAAAGCCGAACGGUGACGCCCCAGACUCGGUUUCUUGGUUCCGUCCCAAAACGCCGAAGAAAGGCACAAUGGCCUAGAAAGGGACGGUCGGACUUGGAACGGGGUCCGAGGCCUCGAAAGUCCACAUCUAGCUACUGGGUGGUCCGAUUCUGAGUGAUCUCGAAGUUUCUUGCCCACAAAAGCCGAACGGUGACGCCCCAGACUCGGUUUCUUGGUUCCGUCCCAAAACGCCGAAGAAAGGCACAAUGGCCUAGAAAGGGAAGGUCGGACUUGGAACGGGGUCCGAGGCCUCGAAAGUCAACAUCUAGCUACUGGGUGGUCCGAUUCUGAGUGAUCUCGAAGUUUCUUGCCCACAAAAGCCGAACGGUGACGCCCCAGACUCGGUUUCUUGGUUCCGUCCCAAAACGCCGAAGAAAGGCACAAUGGCCUAGAAAGGGACGGUCGGACUUGGAACGGGGUCCGAGGCCUCGAAAGUCCACAUCUAGCUACUGGGUGGUCCGAUUCUUUGUGAUCUCGAAGUUUCUUGCCCACAAAAGCCGAACGGUGACGCCCCAGACUCGGUUUCUUGGUUCCGUCCCAAAACGCCGAAGAAAGGCACAAUGGCCUAGAAAGGGACGGUCGGACUUGGAACGGGGUUCGAGGCCUCGAAAGUCCACAUCUAGCUACUGGGUGGUCCGAUUCUUUGUGAUCUCGAAGUUUCUUGCCCACAAAAGCCGAACGGUGACGCCCCAGACUCGGUUUCUUGGUUCCGUCCCAAAACGCCGAAGAAAGGCACAAUGGCCUAGAAAGGGACGGUCGGACUUGGAACGGGGUCCGAGGCCUCGAAAGUCCACAUCUAGCUACUGGGUGGUUCGAUUCUGAGUGAUCUCGAAGUUUCUUGCCCACAAAAGCCGAACGGUGACGCCCCAGACUCGGUUUCUUGGUUCCGUCCCAAAACGCCGAAGAAAGGCACAAUGGCCUAGAAGAAAGGACGGUCGUACUUGGAACGGGGUCCGAGGCCUCGAAAGUCCACAUCUAGCGACUGGGUGGUUCGAUUCUGAGUGAUCUCGAAGUUUCUUGCCCACAAAAGCCGAACGGUGACGCCCCAGACUCGGUUUCUUGGUUCCGUCCCAAAACGCCGAAGAAAGGCAAAAUGGCCUAGAAAGGGACGGUCGGACUCGAAACGGGGUCCGAGGCCUCGAAAGUCCACAUCUAGCGACUGGGUGGUCCGAUUCUGAGUGAUCUCGAAGUUUCUUGCCCACAAAAGCAGAACGGUGACGCCCUAGACUCGGUUUCUUGGUUCCGUCCCAAAACGCCAAAGAAAGGCACAAUGACCAAGAAAGGGAUGGUCGGACUUGGAACGGGGUCUGAGGCCUCGAAAGUCCACAUCUAGCUACUGGGUGGUCCGAUUCUUUGUGAUCUCGAAGUUUCUUGCCCACAAAAGCCGAACGGUGACGCCCCAGACUCGGUUUCUUGGUUCCGUCCCAAACAGCCGAAGAAAGGCACAAUGGCCUAGAAAGGGACAGUCGGACUCGAAACGGGGUCCGAGGCCUCGAAAGACCACAUCUAGCUACUGGGUGGUCCGAUUUUGAGUGAUCUCGAAGUUGCUUGCCCACAAAAGCCGAACGGUGACGCCCCAGACUCGGUUUCUUGGUUUUGUCCCAAAACGCCAAAGAAAGGCACAAUGGCCUAGAAACGGACGGUCGAACUUGGAACGGGGUCUGAGGCCUCGAAAGUCCACAUCUAGCUACUGGGUGGUCCGAUUCUGAGUGACCUCGAAGUUUCUUGCCCACAAAAGCCGAACGGUGACGCCCCAGACUCGGUUUCUUGGUUCCGUCCCAAAACGCCGAAGAAAGGCACAAUGGCCUAGAAAGGGACGGUCGAACUUGGAAUGGGGUCCGAGGCCUCGAAAGUCCACAUCUAGCUACUGGGUGGUCCGAUUCUUUGUGAUCUCGAAGUUUCUUACCCACAAAAGCCUAACGGUGACGCCCCAGACUCGGUUUCUUGGUUCCGUCCCAAAACGCC
rnacentral:lncRNA from 1 species